ensembl:lncRNA
GUUGCGUCUUGUAAAGGGGCAUUUUUCUGGAUCAGACCGGUGUUCAGCAAAUCACAUUUUGGGUAUACAAUGACGGAUUUAAUCGGGAAAAAGACCCAAUUGUGAUGUUUAUGUGACAUAUAGGAGUGCCAAGAAAGAAGCUCGUCAAAGCUGGGACCCUUUGGAUGACAAAUCAGAGGAAGAUUUUCAAAAAACAGGUCCUUCAGCGCCUCCUGGAGAACCAACUGCUCGUGAAAGCCGAGAAGUGUGCGUUCUACUAUCACCUUUCUGGGAUAUUUGCUGAGGACAAUGUUCAGAUGGUUCCUGGAAAGGUGAAAGCAGUGGUGGAUUGACCUCAACCAAUGUCCAGGGUGCCGUUGCAACUGUUUCUUGGUUUUGCAAACUUCUACUGCCAUUUCAUUCGGGACUACAGCACCCUGGCAGCCCCCCUCUCGGCACUCACCUCUCCCAAGGUACCAUUCAAAUGGUUUCCAGCUGUCGACAAAGCCUUUGUGGACCUGAAGCAUCAGUUCACAACAGCAUCCAUCCUCAUCCAUCCUGACCGCUUGCGUCAAUUUGUGGUGGAAGUGGAUGCUUCGGAUGUUGGAGUGGGGGCCAUCCCAGCGAUCUGCCCAGGACCAGAAGCUUCAUCUCUAUGCCUUCCAGUCCCAUCGUCUCAAUCCUGCUGAAAGGAACUACGAUGUUGGCAACCGAGAACUCCUGGCAGUGAAGAUGGUGUUGGAAGAGGGGUGGCACUGGCUGGAAGGAGCAGAACAGCCAUUACUGGUCUGGACUGACCAUAAAAACCUGGAAUAUCUCCAUACAGCCAAGCGCCUCAACUCCAGGCAGGCCCGGUGGGCCCUCCUGUUCACCAGAUUUAACUUCACCAUCUCCUACCGCCCAGGGUCAAAGAAUGUGAAGCCUGAUGCCCUCUCCCGCCUAUACAGUUCCUCUGCCACACCCUCGACCUCUGAAACCAUUCUCUCUACCUCAUGCCUUACUGCCAGUGUGGAUUGGGAUAUUGAGAACCUGGUCCACAAGGCAAAAUGCUCCCAGCCUGGACCUGAAGGGGGCCCGGGCUAACCGUCUGUUUGUCCCUAAUCCAGUCCGGUCCCCGGUCCUGGAAUGGGCUCAUUCCUCCAGGCUGACCUGUCAUCCAGGGUCCCGUUGAGGCCAAUCCAUCUUCCUUCGACAAUGUUUCUGGGGGCCCACAAGGGUCCCUGACGUCUCUGCCUUCGUCACUGCAUGCACUGUGUGUGCUCAAACCAAGACUCCACAGCAAGCUCCUUCUGACCUCCUGCAGCCACUACCGGUUCCUCAUUGUCCCUGGUCUCAUAUCUCUGGACUUUGUCACUGGACUCCCUCCGUCUGAUGGCAACACUGUCAUUCUGACCGUAGUCGACCGGUUCUCCAAGGCCACCCAUUUCAUCCCUCUCCCCAAACUACCUUCUGCCAAGGAGAUGGCCCAGCUUAUGCCUUCAGUUCUGGAAGGCUUUCUGCACCCUUAUUGGGUUGUCAGCCAGCCUUUCAUCCGGAUUCCAUCCCCAACCAAGACCAUCCCCAACCAAGACCUGAGGACCACCUUAAGUUGCCUGGUCUCAACCAACCCCACUACCUGGAGCCAUCAACUGAUCUGGGUGGAGUAUGCCCGGAACACUCUUCCAAGUUUUGCCACGGGAUUCUCCCCUUUCGAGUGCUCCAUGGGAUAUCAGCCUCCACUCUUCACUGAGCAGGAGGUCAGCGUACCCUCGGCCCAGAUGUUUGUCCACCGCUGUCGACGUACCUGUAGAAGAGCCAGGGCGGCUAUUCUCAAGACCAACUCCAGCUAUUGUCGCUGGACCCCAGCUCCCCGCUACCACAUUAGGCAGAGUAUAUGGCUGUCCACAGGGGACCUGCCCCUCUGGGUAGAGUCCCGCAAACUGUUCCUCCAUUUUAUUGGUCCUUUUCUCCAGAGUUCCACUGCUGUCCCCCUCUUGUUACCCCGCACCCUCCGUAUUCACCCUACGUUCCAUGUGUCUAGAAUUAAACCCAUGUCUCUCAGUUCUUUCUGUCCCCAGGCACCCCCCCCCCGUGUCAUUGAUGGCCAUCCGGCAUACACGGUGAGACGUCUGCUGGGUGUUCAACCAUGGGGCAGGGGUUUCCAGUACGUGGUUGACUGGGGGGGUUAUGGCCCGGGGGAGAGGUACUGGGUUCCUGCUAGAGACAUCCUGGAUCCAGCCCUCAUCGCCAACUUCCACCGCUGACACCCCGGUCAACCAG